GUGAAUCAUCGAAUUUUUGAACGCAAAUUGCACUCUCCUCGGAGAGUAUGCCUGUUUGAGGGUCAGCCUAUAAAAAAUCGACAUCGUUGCUGUUUCGCGUUGGCGUGCGUCGUAAAUUGUGUCAUCUUAAAUCCUUUUGUUUGUUAAUCGACUUUAAAUUUUUUUGUGGUUUUCAUGUACUUUUCUAAUAUUUAUUUCUUUACACUUUUAUGGUAUCGAUUUUUAUUAUACGUUACAAUCAUAUCUGAUC
rnacentral:misc_RNA from 1 species